rnacentral:lncRNA from 1 species
CGUUACUUCACUACAGGUGGCAAACAGAGUCUGGUUACGUUUUUAAAUCAUUUAUGGGCACGCUACUGUUCUGGGAUUAGUAUUCUACUUUCGAUCAAAAUUACUCACGGAAAGACAUCUGCUUCUGCAGCAAAUUACCAGAGCCCCAGGCUGCAGUCACUUUCAAGAGCUGAGAGGAAGAUUGAGAGGGUUGUUUUUUUAAGAGGCCUGCUGAUGUCAUCAGCGUCUGUAAAUUGGGGGAUCUGGGAUCUGCACCCAUUUGUGGAUGGAUACCAAAAGCACAUAACGGAGAAUUGGCAAAGACACCCUGACUGAUAUAAUCAAACACUUUGAGGAGAAUGGGGCAAGACCAUGGUUAAGGAAGAAGCACUCACAGCCACGGCCAGCCAGGUUCAUCAGCCGCAGCAUUAUCAACGGAGUUGUGGAAUCUAUAAAAAACUAUGCAGAAGACAAUGCCAUCAUGAUGCCGGGACGACAUCCUGGGCAUAGGGAUUGGCAUGUGAAGAUGCUGCAACCCAUGUGUCUAAGGCGUCAGUUUGGCGUCUCUACGUGAAGUCCACUAAGGAACGUGGUAUGUGUAAAACUUGAUUUCCAAAUUAAGUGCUUGUAAUGUGAAGUAAUGUGAAGUAGAGCUGUCCCAAACGAUUAUUUUUCAAACGAUUAAUAUAGUGAUUAUUUUUUCGAUUAGUCGACUAAUCUAACGAUUAAUUUAAUGUUACAUGACCAAACAAAAGUAACGUAGUAACUGUAACUGUUGUUGGUAACUUAUAUGAGGAAAAAAAUACCGCAGUUGUAGGCAGAGCAGCGUCUGUCCUCCCGCCUGUCCUACCAACUCUUCGUCACAUUUCUGCCUGAAAAACAGCGUCUGUCACCAGGAAAAAUCUUUAAAUUACACUAGGGGUUGUGUUGAUAGAAAUCACCGCCAUGGUCAGCCCUCCCGACCGAGACUUCAGUGAACUUUCCCCCAGAAAACAGCCUCCGUCCCCGCAAGUGACAGAGUCACGCAGCGACCUGUUUACUAAUGGCGAUUAUGUAAUAAUGUAAUUUAGCACGAACCCUUUUACCUUCCAGGAUGUUUAGGGGUGCAGGUUCUCAAUCACUACACAUUAUACGGUCCGCGGGUUUAGAUUGACAGGGGACGGAAACACCCCGAUGUCAUCAUCAUGACGUGUACCGUCACGUCUCUUUAGGAGCGGCAGCGCAGCUUUCUGUGUGAAUUACAUGGCGGUUCGUCUUUAUUCCAGCGGUGCUUCGCACUGUGUGAAUGACCAAUGGCGGAGAAUUGACGAACCACCGCCGCUCAUGUCGACGAAUUUAUGUCGUCGAUUACAUCGAC